rnacentral:lncRNA from 1 species
UAUGACCAAUUUACUAACCAAAUUAUAAUUUAUUUAUCCACUAUUUUUUAUUUUACUACAUAACAUAUUAGCAUACACUAAUUUACUCCAAACUCAAACUGCAUUUAUACAUAAGCAAUAAAGAAUAUAUUUGCCGAGUUCUUACAGAAGACAUACAUCAUGACACCAUUGCCAAUUGCAGUGAUUACAUAAUCUUAUAACUCUCUCUCUACAUAUUGAUCAUAUAAGCUUACCACAGCACCUUAAUUUUCCAAGAUUUUGAUAAAAACUAGAAAUAGCACCUAUUAAAGGAUUUGCAUAUCAAUGAUGUAGCAGGGAUAAGGUUAGGUGGCCUUUUUGUCACAUACAUACACCAACGUUUUUUGACCUUUUUGUUUUACUUGCUUCUAAUUUUUGCUUUAUAUGAACGGACCAUUUGUAUGCUCAAUCUCAUCUUUGUUCAGAUAUGCAUGUUAAUGUUAUAAAUCCUAUGUUUUUCUGGUACUGAAAGCACAGGUAACAAUGGCCAAUUAGUAUAGUCUGUAAAAAUUUAACUAUUUAGUCUCAUGGUGGGGACCAAUAUAUUGAUAUGAUUUAUACUAGUCGUGCAUAGAAUUUGACCCACACUUAUACUAUAUGUCAAAGGAUUCACAUUCCACUAUUGAAAUUGAAACCUAUUCAUGAGAAUUAACUAAUAACAUUGGUUAUUUGGAUGAGUGAUAUCACCUUUUUUUCAAUAUUCAUGAUGAUUAGCUAAUAGUGUUU